CACGGAGUUAGCCGAUCCUUAUUCUUACGGUACCGUCAAAUAAUUACACGUAAUUACAUUUCUUCCCGUACAAAAGCAGUUUACAAUCCAUAGGACCGUCAUCCUGCACGCGGCAUGGCUGGUUCAGAGUUGCCUCCAUUGACCAAUAUUCCUCACUGCUGCCUCCCGUAGGAGUCUGGUCCGUGUCUCAGUACCAGUGUGGGGGAUCUCCCUCUCAGGACCCCUAAUCAUCGUCGCCUUGGUAUGCCGUUACCACACCAACUAGCUAAUGAUACGCAUGCCCAUCUUUUACCGAUAAAUCUUUAUUAUAUAAAUGAUGCCACUCAUAUAAACCAUGGAGCAUUAAUCCGAAUUUCUCCGGGCUAUUCCCCUGUAAAGGUAGGUUGCAUACGCGUUACUCACCCAUCCGCCGGUCUCUAGAAAGCAAGCUCUCUAUACCCCUCGACUUGCAUGUGUUAGGCCUGCCGCUAGCGUUCAUCCUGAGCCAGGAUCAAACU
rnacentral:rRNA from 1 species